AUUCCAGCUCCAAUAGCGUAUACUAAAGUUGUUGCAGUUAAAAAGCUCGUAGUUGAAUUUCUGGUCUUGGACAGCGGUCUGCCUCAAAAGAGGUACGCACCAUCUAUCCGAGUCCAUCCUCGGGGAAAACAUGUGUGUGAUUCAGUUCAUGUGCAUGGGAUCCUCGUCAUUUACUGUGAGCAAAAUAGAGUGUUCAAAGCAGGCUUAUGCCGUUGAAUAUUUUAGCAUGGAAUAAUAAGAUAAGACCUUGGUCUAUUUUGUUGGUUUGUACUCCAAGGUAAUGAUUAAUAGGGACAGUUGGGGGUAUUCGUAUUCAAUUGUCAGAGGUGAAAUUCUUGGAUUUAUUGAAGACGAACUACUGCGAAAGCAUUUACCAAGGAUGUUUUCAUUA
rnacentral:rRNA from 1 species